GGGGUAGAUGUUUCGCACAGGGUAUUUAAGACUGAGUUUGGAAGAACUACGACGUUGAAUAAUGAAAAUCGAAGAAUCCAGGAUGUCUGGGGGCAGGCCUAAGUAUGUGCCAGACACUAUCCUGGACCUCUGAACAUCAGAAAUGAAAGCUCCCCUUUCUGUGGUAGCAGGCUGUGUAGGAAGCAUACCACAGACCAUGUACUG
rnacentral:lncRNA from 1 species